rnacentral:rRNA from 1 species
AGCCCAAGGUUUCCUGCUCUACGUUCAUCGGAGCAGGGUGAGUCGGCCCCUAAGGCCAGGCUGAGAAGCGUAGUCGAUGGGAACAAGGUUAAUAUUCCUAGACCAUUGUCAAGUAUGCGAUGGGGGGACGGAGUGUGGAAGAUGAUCCGGGUGUUGGAUGUCCCGGUUUGUGAGAGUAGAACGAGAGCAGGCAAAUCCGCUCUCGGAUGUUCGAGUCAAAACAUCGAAGCUCUACGGAGCUGAAGUCAUCGGAAGUGCUUCCAAGAAAAGCCUCUAAGUGGUAGCUUGACAAGACCGUACCGCAAACCGACACUGGUGGGCGAGUUGAAUAUACUAAGGCGCUUGAGAGAACUCGGGAGAAGGAACUCGGCAAAUUGACACCGUAACUUCGGGAUAAGGUGUGCCUUUGUAGCGUGAAGAGAGAAACACUCGGAGCGUGAAGAGGCCUCAGAGAAUCGGUGGCUGCAACUGUUUAUUAAAAACACAGCACUCUGCAAAGACGAAAGUCGACGUAUAGGGUGUGAUGCCUGCCCGGUGCUGGAAGAUUAAGUGAUGGGGUGAGAGCUCCUGAUCGAAGUCCCAGUAAACGGCGGCCGUAACUAUAACGGUCCUAAGGUAGCGAAAUUCCUUGUCGGGUAAGUUCCGACCUGCACGAAUGGCAUAAUGAUGGCCACACUGUCUCCUCCCGAGACUCAGUGAAGUUGAAAUGUUUGUGAUGAUGCAAUCUCCCCGCGGCUAGACGGAAAGACCCCAUGAACCUUUACUGUAGCUUUGCAUUGGACUUUGAACCGAUUUGUGUAGGAUAGGCGGGAGGCAGAGAAAGCGCAACGCCAGUUGUGCCGGAGCCGACGUUGAAAUACCGCCCUGAUUUGUUUGAGGUUCUAACCGCGACCCGUGAGCCGGGUCCGGGACCGUGCAUGGCAGGCAGUUUGACUGGGGCGGUCUCCUCCUAAAGGGUAACGGAGGAGUACAAAGGUACGCUAGGUACGGUCGGAAAUCGUGCUGAUAGUGCAAAGGCAAAAGCGUGCUUGACUGCGAGACCGACAAGUCGAGCAGAUGCGAAAGCAGGUCUUAGUGAUCCGGUGGCUCUGUAUGGAAGGGCCAUCGCUCAACGGAUAAAAGGUACU